rnacentral:misc_RNA from 1 species
AGUCACCUCACAAGAUUUGCUGCAAUGAGUUCUAGUUUAACAGUGAUCGAAAUCAAAUAAAAAAACACACACACGCACAAGAUUGCUUGUUCUCAUUAGGAGCAAUUCUUGAUUUGCUUUUCAAGAUGCUACAGUUGUUUGUCUGCUUUUAAUUAUGAUAAAAACAAGCUUCUAUUAAUUGGAAAUAAACAAGGAAAAAAGUAAACAAGAAAAACAAAAGAUUUAGAAUCAUCAAAAACCAAGCUAUUAAUUAAAGCAAUCCUAUGAGUGGAAAGAAACCUUAUUUUUAAACAUGACUUUUACUUUUUCCCCUGUAAAGCAACCAUGCAAUUGAGAUAUGGACCCAUUAAUAAGAGAGGAAGUGACAGAAUCAAUCCCAAUGCUUUUCAGGAAUCAAGAUACUGCUGCUGCUGCUGAGUGCUGGCAUGAAAAUCGAAGCCAAUAGUUAGAUCUGUAAUCUAAAGAACAAGAUCAACAAAGAUUCAAAUUUCUGAGGGAAAAAAAAAAGUGAUAGUUACUGAUCCCUUUCACUUUCAGACAGUAUUUUGAGACCAAAGACCUCGCUUUUGUCCCCCUCUUUAUGCCACAAUACCUUGAGUCUUCACCUGUACUUUAGACAUUCUAAAGCACUUUCGCCUCAUUGCUUGUAUUACAAAUAUUCCUUCAAUAAAGAGAAAAAGAGAGACAACUUGAACCAUACUUAUGGAAAAUGACCUUCACAAUAAUGCAUUUUUAUUAAAAUUUCAAUUUUUCUUGUAACAUACCAAGAAGGAACUAUAUCAACCUUCUGUGUAUAAACAAGAAUUCCAUGUCAAAUUAUACUUGGCCUCUCAUGGGCUGUAGCUGCCAUUGAAUACGAAUCUUGGCUUCAAAAGUUCUUAUGAGAACAAUCUGCAUCCUGUUACCCUGUGGAAUUCUUGGUGAGGGAACGAAUCUACCCCCCUGAUGUAGGAGGAUGAUCUUCGCUAAUCUUGAUCUCCACAAGUUCCUGGAUGGUUUGGCGGCAUAUUGGGCACUUAACACUGCUAAAAAAAAAGUUUAUGCAUCUAAAGAUAUAUAAGUGAAAUGACAGUCUACAAAUGGUGACUCAGAAGAACCAGAAAGUCCGGUUCAGAAUCGAACCGAAAUUGAUCAAAAUUAACUUUCAACCAGAUAAAAAUCUAACUUUUUCUUUAAAAAAAAAAAGAUAAAAAAAUAAUUUUAAUCAUUAGAUUUGAUCAAAACCGAACCGAAUAAAAAACGAAACCAAAACCUAAACUUUGAACUGGAACUAGUACAUCUACUUAGUAGAAUGAAACAAAUUAUAUUCCAAUAAACAUGACAGAUAUUAAGUGCAUCCCAACAUCCUGAGGUCAAAUAACUCAGUCCCAACUAGAUUUAAACAUUUAAAACACAGUUAAAUUGUCAUCUUAAGCUCUUUAUGGCUUCAAAUCCUAAAUGUGGCCAUUUGAGAUUCACCUGUAAAACUAGGACAGCACUAAUAAGUCCACAUUGAUGAUCUAUUGAUCUUCAUUCACUCAUCAGAAAAGUAAGCAAGCCAGCGUCUCAUGUCAGACAACCAAUGCAAGCACACAUCUACUGAUCAAAAUCAGAUCAAACAUGGCUUUUUUGGAGGCUAAUUGUACAAGUAAUAAAAAUUUAACGUCCAUAGAGAAGAGUAAUAAUAAGAAUAUAUAUGCUUAAGAUCAGUAUUCUAUCUCACCAUAUGUCGACAAGGCAAAAACAGCUGUAUCCUUUGGCUCAGUCAUGCAAAUGACACAUUCUUUCCCUGACACAUGGGAAUUGCCAAAGCCAUAAAUUAAUCUCACGUAGCUCAUAAUGAAUCCCAUCAACCCACAAUAUUUGCUUCAUUAUUUUCACUUGAAAAUGGCCCUUAUUAUUCUUGUCCAAGACUGCUUGAGUAAUCUGUGCAUGAGGAGACAUGGUCGGCAGAGGCUGAUCAUCAGGUUCUGCAGCUGCAAAGAAAGAAGACAGGCACGCUUCUGCACAGAUAACAAGGGGGAACAUAUCUUCCUCUGGUGUGGGCUUUGAUAGCUGAUCCAACUCAAGGAAGCCCAAGUCAAUUCCAGUUCCUGAUGGCUGACAGAAUUUUUGGCCCAGUCCUCUCUUGAAGGGAGUUCUCCAUGGCACAUAGAUUUCAGGGUACAAAGGCACAAAUCUACAGUUCACUUCUUCCUUGGCAAAGUAAGAUAU